GGCAUCCUUCUUCCAGGUAGGGAUUGCCUGCAAAACCAUUGUUGCAGGUGCAGAGAUAUCCUGUUGCAUUUGGUGAUGUGAUGCACUGGCUAUUCUUGCUAAUGCAGGCAUACGUUGACAUGUUCUUCACAGCUUCAUCACAGUAUUCAUUUCCAGCAACCCAGUCAAGCAGAGUGGGUACUCCAUCCUUGAACUUCUCUUUGAAUUUAUUAUCCUCUAGAUAAGAAGCCUCAAACCUGAACCAAUCCUGCUCAGCGACAAAAGCAUAGCUGCAUGGGUUGAAGCCACUCACCUCAGAAUUGUCGAAUCUGUCAUCAAAUGUUAUAUUGGAGAAAUUGAGGUUUGGCGCAAUAGAUGUCUGGCAACAGCCCAUUCCAGAGCACUGACCACUUUCAUCCACACUUCGCCUGUCUGCGCACAUUGAGAAACACCCAGCUCCCACUCUGUGCUCGUUAAAGCCUCCCAGGAAUGCAAGGGUGUUGCAUCCAACCGCUGUUAAUUUGUUUGCCUUGGUUGAUAUUGUAAAAAACUUACCCGUAUUUAACCAGGCCCAUCCCCCUGUCUCGUUGAAGCACUUGGAUGCAAUCAAGGUGGUGACUCGGGCCUGCCCUCCUAGCAGACUGAUGUUGUAGAUCUUUAUUCUGCUGCUUGAGUUAUGCCUGUAAACGCUAUUGUUCUCGCAUGAAACAUCGAACCCUUCACGGAAGCAACCUUCACCGAUGCCGAAGGGGUAUGGGAUGGUGAGGUUGCCACAUGUUUCUUGGCACCUAGGUUUCGCCAUCCUGGACGCUGUGCUGCUCUUGAUGCUUGCUAGCAUCAGGGUGGCUGCAAAGAUUAGGCAUGGUAGGGUUCCUGCCAUCUCUUUGUGUAUUUCUGCAUCCUUUUCUGCCUGUUCUAUGAUUCGGCACCCUUUCUCUAAGUUGGCUAUGGUUAUAUAAUGAAACGGAUGUGGACUAAUUGAUCUUUCAUGUUUUUUUUGCUCAAUCAGAGUGUAGACUAGGUCAGAAGUGGUUUGGGGUUUGAACUAGCCUUCUUUCAGUCGUAAAAAUAGCUUGCUUGUCUGCUCUGCAACCCAAACAUGAGACCGUGUAUUAAUUGGCAGUUUUAUUUUAUCUAGAGAGAGACUGCUGGAGAUGCCACUUUUAUGAACCUACUUUUGUAUUUCUUUAUCAAAUAAUUAUAAUUUUUUUUUGGCAGAUGGAUCCUAUUCUUACGCAUGGAAACUUUUGUCUACAAGUUGGGAGUAUUAACUUACACACUACUUUUUAACAAAAUAAAGUUUCCAACUUAUCAUGAUCACAGCUUACAAGAGUGCUGAAAUUACUUUAAUAUUAAGGCAGAAAAGCAAGUCUGCUCAUAUAUGAGGCACGCGUUUAGAUGGUAGACACAAAGCGCCUUGCCCAGAUUUAAUAGAAAGCCAAAAGAAGGUUCAGGUGAAACUGGGGCAUGAAUUUACAUAUUGACCGGUAUGGUGGUUAUAGCAGUGCAAUUCCCCCCUUCUAUAUCCCUUGCUUGGUGGAUUGGCCUUUUCUGAAAGCAACUCCCCACCUACCAUAGAAGACUGGGCCAUCAGAUUUUUGCUGCGUCAACGUACUCCGUUUGGCUUAUUCUCACUGUGCUUCUUUGAUGAAAAAUGUCACAUCUGUACAACUAGACUUAUAUGAAAUGGAAGCAGUCGCUGUGUAGACUGUAGCGGGCAAUUGGUAGGUUCCAGGUGAUGUUGUACACGCAUAUAAAACUGGGGAGACUCUUCAUAUGAAAUGUUUCAUUAAUGUAUUUACCUUUGAACACUGUAAAGUAUUGUCACCAGUAAUUAGUAGUAGCUGAUUAAAAACUUAACCUUAUGUUGCUUUGCCGCAGGUGAUUGAACCUGGAAGUGAUCCAGGGUCACUCAAGACAGCAGCACAUGAAGUUAAAGGUUCCUUGAUGUGAUCAGGGUGGCCUUUGAAUCCAUGCCCGGGUCAAGUCAUUAAAGAGAAUCUUUCAAAAGGGACAAGGAGAUAUGCACAUCCUGCUCGAUGAAAGUGAAGGUGAACUCAUUCGUGUCAUGGCAUUGAAUGAGACUGGUAAAGUGGGUAAGCUUGCUCUGUGAAUACCUUGGACUAGUUCUGCUGUCUUGAUCGACUCCGCCGCGAGAACAGAUUUGCACCACAGGUUCGUCCCUGAAUUACGCUCGACCAAACUUGUGUUCUUCUGUGCUAUGCAUUGUGGUGUGGACUAGUUUGUAACAGGGGAACUUACCAGCUCAGCUAAGAAUGUCUCUGACAAGUCGCUAUUGAGUUAGUUUAUAUAUAAGUAAAAAAAAGGGAAAAGGAAAUACCUGUAUUUUUAGAGGGCGUACCCAGUGCUGAAAGACCUGUUUUUUUUAAGGAAUUAGCAAAAACACAGCACAAUUCAUGUGCUGUAUCUCAUCAGGUCCAUAAACUUGUACCAAUCUGUGACAAAUUCUGUGCUGUAAUAUCAAGAAAUUCUGGCUUUCAUGUGUACCAUACAUAUACCUUAGCCUGAGGUGUAAAUUUUUCUAAGUUAGAGGUGUUCUUGAGGUCAUCGGUAUAUUGUCGUAUCUUUGUUCAUGGAGAAUAGUGUAAUAGUGGAAGCGGGUAAGUUCGUGCUAAUUACUUGAGACAUAGGAAAAAUCCAAAAUGAAAAUAUCUUUUCCCUUCUUGGUACAAAUUAAAAAAAGAAUUAAUGCCUCUAUGUUUGCAACUGGUAUGUGAGAUAGUGGAAGCGGGUAAGUUUCUGCUUAAUAAAUGCGCACAGGCUCGAGUUUGAAUUUAUCAACGUAGUUUCCCCCUAUUUUUUCCUGCUUAUUGGUAAGUACUAUCCACUGUCGGUGCAAUGAAUCUCAUAUGAAAAUUUGUUACUGAUAAUUACUCUACUUUCAAUUCGAUCCUAGUUUUAAGCGUUGGCAAGUUUUUGCACCCUUCACUGCUUUGGGGUUCGAUUUGCAUUCACUUCUAAAAUACAUGUAAUGUAUGAUCAACUACUUCCAUGGUGUAAAAUAGGCAACGUUAUAGCAUCUAUUUGUUUUUUUACUGGAAAUCUGUAGGGGAGCCUCUGACAGUAAUAUAUUGUCAAAUAGAGUAAAAGGUAUACACGAUAUAUACAGGAGUGCAUAUCAGAGGCUAUACAGAAGGAACUAUAUUCAGUGGAUACAAGCACAUGCUUGGAAGGUGAUGGUAAAAAAAAAGUUACACAAUUUAGCAACUCUUUGUUGUUAACAUACUGGAAUUACUUCAAAUCAUGGUACAUAGAAGUUUGCUCUUCAUGCAAGGAGGUUUGUUACAAUUAAAAACAAAAUGACACUUUUUUGCAUGACAUUUAUGGCACGAAAUAGUAAAUUAAAUCUCUGCUACAAUCUGUGAUUUCAUAAGCAAUUUAUCAUCUACCACUUUCUAAAUCUAGCGCCAUCAGACUUCCGUGCUGUCCAGUGCUAGAAGGGUCAUAGUGUGACGAGUUCUCAAGCAAACAUUCAGUUUCCCUGCUAGGAUUCUGAAUCAAUUGUUCUCUCCAGGUGCUUCGUAUUGAUCUCAACCUCUCAGCGACAUCUCUCAUUAAUGGCCGUUCUUCCCCCCUCAUACUCAAGCAACACUUUGCCAAUUGAGCAAUUUCUUGGAGCAGCUCCGCUUCGAAGUCUAAUAUAUUCUUGUCCAAGAUGAAUUGAAGUCCAUUUUCUUUCAUUGCCAGAAGGAAGGAUGAUGCAAGGUUUUUCUUUUCUCCAGCACUGUCAGAAUAAAUUGCGAACUUCAUUGUAAUGAGCUCUAGGAGCACAACUCCAAAACUAUAAACAUCACUCUUCUCUGUUAGUUGACGCUCUUGCAAGUAUUCAGGGUCAAGAUAACCUAUAGUUCCCUGUACCAUUGUCAUAAAUUGUAUUUCAUCCGUAGGAAGCAUUCUUGAUGCUCCAAAAUCAGUCACUUUUGCUGUGAAGUUGUCGCCUAGGAGAAUGUUUGGAGAUUUUACAUCUCCAUGAACUAUGGGAGGGGAUGCUGAUGAGUGCAGAUAUGCUAGUGCUUCUGCAGAUUCCUGAGCUAUCCUGAGACGUGUAUCCAGUGAGAUGGAAAGUCUUCUGUUUUUACCAUGCAUCAGCUCGAAUAGGGUGCCGUUUGGGAUGCAUUCAUAUACCAACAUUGGAACUUCCACUUCUAAGCAACAUCCUAGAAGCUUUACCACAUUCCUGUGGUUUAUCUGUGAAAGUAUAACCAUCUCUUGCGCAAAUUCAUCUUUCUGGUCCAUGUUCAUAACCUUUGAGCGCUUUAUGGCUACCACUCUUCCGUCUUUGAGAAUUCCCUUGUAAACAGUUCCAUGGCCACCUCUUCCUAAUUCUCUGCUUGAGUCAAAAUUGUUUGUUGCGUUCUCUAGUUCUUCCCUUGUGAAUAUUCUCACUGUAUCAACUUGCUUUGACCUGAUUUGCUCAUAUAGUAGCAGGCCACCAUUUUGUUGGAAGAAUAUCUGCUUUUCUUUCGCCAGCCUUCUCUUCUGACAUUCAAUCAGGAGUGCCAAAAUGCAGAUAAGGAGAAGUACAGCACAUGCUGAAAUACCUGCGAAGAAUAACAUUCUUUCAGUUACUUUUAGUCUUAUAGAUAAUGCCUAAUGGUGCUCAGAGCACUUGCCCCCUUUUCGAAAAAAUAUUUCCGUUCUUCCAAAAAUUCCAAAAUAUCCCACAUAUAAUUGACUAAUUAUUUUGUUUGGAUUUCAAGUUAUAUGAAAAUCUUUACACGGCUGUGAAAAAACCCCAAACCUUUCCUUCAACACUAAAAGAAACUUUUUUAGUAAUCAUUUUUAGGCAGAUUACAAAUCAACAUUUUUUUCCAAUAAACUAGAUGAGCACCCAACAGCAUAUAAAUAUAAGUAGUCACAUGGUUCUGUUUCUAUUGUAAGAAUUUUUUGUAUCAUUUAUCUAUGAUCUGCUGCGAGCUUGCGACAAACAGCACCUGGAUAUUGUUUUAUAACUAAUUUAUUAACCACCAGCAUCUAUUAAAUUAUGUACAAGACUACACGGCACCUGGUUCUGCAUCUUAUUUUUAUUGCGAUUACAGUGCAUACUUUUGGGACAAGGUAGGAUGAAUGUCCUAAUAUGUAUAUUUUGCAAACAAGUGGGAAAAAGUGUUAUUUCUUAUUUGUUCAUAUAUGCAGCUAAGUUUUCUAGGAAUGAAUCUCACUCAUGCCUCCCUAUAUGUGCUAUAUCAGUUUGACCUAUCCACACUAUUCAGAGGCACUUACUGAAAUAUCCUGAGUAUAUGAAGAUUACCUAUAAAGAUUUUUGUUAAUCUAGCUCUUUCUGAAACUGCAAUUGGUUUGCAGGUUUCUCUCUUUGGAUCUAUGCUGGUAGUCCCAGAGUCGCAUGAGCAACUGUAGUCCCCAAUUGUGUUGCUGCAGGUUCCAUGGCAAGG
rnacentral:lncRNA from 1 species